rnacentral:rRNA from 1 species
GACGAACGCUGGCGGCGUGCUUAACACAUGCAAGUCGAACGGAAAGGCCCUGCUUUUGUGGGGUGCUCGAGUGGCGAACGGGUGAGUAACACGUGAGUAACCUGCCCUUGACUUUGGGAUAACUUCAGGAAACUGGGGCUAAUACCGGAUAGGAGCUCCUGCUGCAUGGUGGGGGUUGGAAAGUUUCGGCGGUUGGGGAUGGACUCGCGGCUUAUCAGCUUGUUGGUGGGGUAGUGGCUUACCAAGGCUUUGACGGGUAGCCGGCCUGAGAGGGUGACCGGCCACAUUGGGACUGAGAUACGGCCCAGACUCCUACGGGAGGCAGCAGUGGGGAAUACUGCACAAUGGGCGGAAGCCUGAUGCAGCAACGCCGCGUGCGGGAUGACGGCCUUCGGGUUGUAAACCGCUUUCGCCUGUGACGAAGCGUGAGUGACGGUAAUGGGUAAAGAAGCACCGGCUAACUACGUGCCAGCAGCCGCGGUGAUACGUAAGGUGCGAGCGUUGUCCGGAUUUAUUGGGCGUAAAGGGCUCGUAGGUGGUUGAUCGCGUCGGAAGUGUAAUCUUGGGGCUUAACCCUGAGCGUGCUUUCGAUACGGGUUGACUUGAGGAAGGUAGGGGAGAAUGGAAUUCCUGGUGGAGCGGUGGAAUGCGCAGAUAUCAGGAGGAACACCAGUGGCGAAGGCGGUUCUCUGGGCCUUUCCUGACGCUGAGGAGCGAAAGCGUGGGGAGCGAACAGGCUUAGAUACCCUGGUAGUCCACGCUGUAAACGGUGGGUACUAGGUGUGGGGUCCAUUCCACGGGUUCCGUGCCGUAGCUAACGCUUUAAGUACCCCGCCUGGGGAGUACGGCCGCAAGGCUAAAACUCAAAGGAAUUGACGGGGCCCCGCACAAGCGGCGGAGCAUGCGGAUUAAUUCGAUGCAACGCGUAGAACCUUACCUGGGUUUGACAUGGAUCGGGAGUGCUCAGAGAUGGGUGUGCCUCUUUUGGGGUCGGUUCACAGGUGGUGCAUGGCUGUCGUCAGCUCGUGUCGUGAGAUGUUGGGUUAAGUCCCGCAACGAGCGCAACCCUUGUUCACUGUUGCCAGCACGUUAUGGUGGGGACUCAGUGGAGACCGCCGGGGUCAACUCGGAGGAAGGUGGGGAUGACGUCAAGUCAUCAUGCCCCUUAUGUCCAGGGCUUCACGCAUGCUACAAUGGCUGGUACAGAGAGUGGCGAGCCUGUGAGGGUGAGCGAAUCUCGGAAAGCCGGUCUCAGUUCGGAUUGGGGUCUGCAACUCGACCUCAUGAAGUCGGAGUCGCUAGUAAUCGCAGAUCAGCAACGCUGCGGUGAAUACGUUCCCGGG